rnacentral:rRNA from 1 species
UACGUAGGCGACGAGCGUUAUCCGGAAUUAUUGGGCGUAAAGAGCUCGUAGGUGGCUUGUCACGUCGGGUGUGAAAGCUUGGGGCUUAACUCCAGGUCUGCAUUCGAUACGGGCUGGCUAGAGGUAGGUAGGGGAGAACGGAAUUCCUGGUGUAGCGGUGAAAUGCGCAGAUAUCAGGAGGAACACCGGUGGCGAAGGCGGUUCUCUGGGCCUUACCUGACGCUGAGGAGCGAAAGCGUGGGGAGCGAACAGG